ensembl:lncRNA LINC03011 long intergenic non-protein coding RNA 3011
GACGUCAGCUGAGGCGCGCCCCUGUGAUAUCUCACAGGCCCGCCCCUUCUGUAGAACCAAUCGGAACUCGAGGCGCAGCGGCUGGGUAUUCCAGGAGAGCGCAUGCGCAGACGCAUGGCCACAGACUGCCGGUCAGUGUCAGCAGGCGGUGGGUUAGGGUCCGCAGGCCCAGACCAGGCCGCCGACACCAAUAAGCUACAAGGAGGAGCUUUACCGCUGCCUGUACUACUACUGCCUGCGCUACUUCCCAGCCUGCGGCGUAGGGCGCAGCAAGGGCCUGACGCUUAGCGAGCAGGCGCUGCGCACCAAGCGGCUGUCGCCUGGAGGGCACGUUCAGGCAGAAGCUCCUCAGUGGCCACAAGUCCGCUAGCUCCGGCUACAGCCCUUGCCGCACACUCGCGUCACCUGAGCCUGUGUAGGAUGCCGAAGGACCUGUUCAAAGUAUUUUCUGUAACUCCAACUGUAACUUGGUUCUAGGAGGAGAGAAUCCAUGUUUGGUCAACAGAACUUUUCGCCGCCACUUAAGUUUACUGCUUCAAUAUCUUUUCCUUACUAAUUGAUUGUUAAUUAAGUAGUGUCCAAGUGAGUUAGCCUUUUUAGGGUUGAUUAAUUAAAAGAGCAGCAAGAAUGGCAUUUUAACUCU